rnacentral:tRNA from 1 species
GGUUCCGUGGUGUAGUGGUUAUCACGUUCGCUCUACACGCGAAAGGUCCCCAGUUCGAUCCUGGGCGGAAUCA